rnacentral:rRNA from 1 species
GACAGAGGAUGCAAGCGUUAUCCGGAAUGAUUGGGCGUAAAGCGUCUGUAGGUGGCUUUUUAAGUCCGCCGUCAAAUCCCAGGGCUCAACCCUGGACAGGCGGUGGAAACUACCAAGCUGGAGUACGGUAGGGGCAGAGGGAAUUUCCGGUGGAGCGGUGAAAUGCGCAGAUAUCAGGAGGAACGCCGGUGGCGAAGGCGGGUCUCUGGGCCGAUACUGACGCUGAGGAGCGAAAGCGUGGGGAGCAAACAGG